GGAAAACAUAUGCCCCAAACUUUGGUAGCGUCUAAACAACGUGUGUAUUUUACAGACAUCGGAGGACAGCUUCCUGCAGCAUCCUCGAUUUUAACAGGUACACCUGAUAAUGACUUCUUGGACUUACGUGAAACAAAAUCAAAGAAAAACAAUUCCGUCAACAAAGACUCAGAUCAGACGUAGAAUAGUUGCGCCAUUCUUAUAAAGAUAACAAGGAGUAACAACUAAAAGUGCCCGUCUGCUUCACACGUGAACGUA